rnacentral:rRNA from 1 species
UACGAAGGGUGCAAGCGUUACUCGGAAUUACUGGGCGUAAAGGGUGCGUAGGUGGUUGUUUAAGUCUGCUGUGAAAGCCCCGGGCUCAACCUGGGAAUGGCAGUGGAUACUGGACAGCUAGAGUGCGGUAGAGGGUAGUGGAAUUCCCGGUGUAGCAGUGAAAUGCGUAGAGAUCGGGAGGAACACCAGUGGCGAAGGCGGCUGCCUGGACCAGCACUGACACUGAAGCACGAAAGCGUGGGGAGCAAGCAGG